UUGCAAACAUGCUGAAGAAGCCAUAAGUACAAAGCUACAUAUUGUAUGAUUCCAUUUACAUAAAAUAUCCAGAACAGGCCAAUCCUUGGAGACAGAAAGGAAUCCAAGGGGCACCCAGAGAUCUCAGUAGUAAUGGCUGACCCACCAAUCCUCUCUAACUUCCAAUCAAGUUGCCAAAUAUGAAAAUAAAACCAAAGCCCGA